ACUAGAAACUUGAGUUUCAGCUACGGAUUCAGAGAGGGAUUAAAUCUGUAGCAAAAUUUAGGCUUAUAGAGAGGGAAUUACGAGAGAUCUGCGAUGGUUAAAAAAAUUUUAUUUAUUUAUUCAACAUUUAGCAUAUUAGAGAGUGUUUAGCGAGGUAUCAACUACAGAUCUCACAAGUAUUUAUCGACGGACUCUUAUCCCUCGGUAAUCGGUGGAAAACGAAGGCAUUUGGCGAGGGUUCAACGAGGGAAAAAAAAGAUCGAGUUUUUGGCCAUCUAGUACGUGUUUAGCGAGAGAAUACCGACAGACCAUAUGCACGCUAUGUUUUUAACAUUGACGAUCUCUCGCUGAAAUUGAUGCUCCAAUUCCAAACUUCGUCUUGCUUAACCCAAUCUCACCCUCUCUGUUCAAACAGAUGACGACAAGAACGGACCAUUGCAGCUUCCGAUUUCGACAGCCUCCACAAUUUUAAAAUCUGAAAUUAUUCUUCUUUAACUUCCGAUUCAGGUAAAUCUCUUGAUUUUAUUUGCUUUAGUCAUAUAUUAGGUUAGGUUUGAUUUAGUUGCACAAUAUAUUACGUUAGGGUUUAAUUUCUCCAUUUUCUUUCCUUUUUCAAUCGUCAUUCCUCCACACAAUACAAUGCCCCUGAUAUGCAAAGUUGUUAAAGCUGGAAAAUCCCAAGGUGUUUUGGGCGUAAUAUUGCAAGCUCGAAUCACAAUGCUAGUUAGUGUGAAAUGUUUGAGUGAAUAAGAGGUAAAUAGGAAAGGAGGCAGAAGAGGAACAUGGACAUUAUGAGCAUAGGCAGGGGCAUUAUUACUCUGAUAGCCAUUGGAGUCUUUCAAGUUCUGUUCCUCUCUGAAUAUACAACAUAUGGAAUUCAAUGAAAUUAAUGCACUUUGGUAUGACCAUAAAAAGCCUUCUGCUCUUACACUAGAGAUAUACACAGACACACAAGCACACACACACACAUUAACUCUCCAUUCAUUGCCAAUUUAAGGGCAUUCAUGUAUACAUAAAAUCGACUAUAAGGGUUCUCUAACAGGUUGCAGAGAUUGAACAAGCUGAAUAGAGGAGAAAGGUAGACAAUAGACAUAAGAAAAUGUUACAAAAUGUUACAGAUACUACUUGUUAAGUUGUUUAUGAUUAUGAGUGGAGCUUACAUCUUCAAUCGGAGUGCAGGCUUAUCAUUUGGUUGUUGUGCAACUUUUGUGGAUAAAAGCUUUGCCAUCUCUAACCCAUUUGUGACAAACUCCAACAUUUCUCUCAUUAAACAAAUACUAAAAUACCCUUUUAACCCUACAAUUACACAAGAAAAGUUUCAAUUCCAAUUCCUUCAAUACCAACUCUUUAGACAAAUUCCAUUCCUUCCAAAAAAAUAUUAACUCUCUUACCAUACCAAUGCUGCAAUCAACCUUCUUGUCCUUAACUCUCUUAGCCUUGUUCUUCCUUCUUUUCGGCUUCUCUUCGGCUUCAGUGUCAUGUCAUUCAAAGAGAGCUCCUCGGCAUUAUCCUCUUCAACAAACCUGUGCAAAAACUUGGGUCAUUAAUCACUCAUAUAUACGAUAAUUGAGCUUCUGAAAGGAGAAUCAGAGGGACUUUUGAAACUUCCUACAGACAUCGCAUUGUUGGAUGAUCCUGCAUUCCGCCCUUAUGUUGAGCUCUAUGCAAAGGUUUGAAUGAAAGGGUGAUCCAAAGUUCCAUCAGUGAAAAACAAGUGAAAAACAAGCUGAACAGCAGCUAGUCAUUUUGUCAACACGUAGUGAUAGAGACGGGAUGUACAAAAGGUUAGAUAAUGGGUAUCUUAGCACAACAUAUCAUGCAUCCCCUCUUGAAUAAUGAAACAUGGUGUGAUGUUUCCGGAGGAGUCAAGAAAGGAAGAAUAUAUGGAUUCGGAUUUGUGUCUGAUCCAGCGAGCUUUUUGGAAGGAACAUCUAGUACAAUAACAUCCCAAGAGGUUGUCUAUGAACGUGUACGAAACGAGAUGCGUGGGGAAAUGGAUGCUAAAGCUGCAGCAAUAGAUGCCAAACAACAACAAAUUGAUGCAAAAUAUGAAGCAAUGGAGAAGAUGUUUGCAGCCUUGCAAAAUAUGAUGGGAAAUUGAAAAUUAGAGGAAUGAGAACCGAAGAUUGAAGAGAGCAGCUAAAAUGUUAUUUUGAAAUUAUGUUUUGUGAAAACUCAUUUCCCGAUGCUUAUUUUGAAGGUUAAACUUUUUUUUUAUUUGUACCUAUUUUGCAUACUUUGGAUUUCUUGGUGCUAGAAUGUUAUUUUGAAGUUAAACCUUUGGGAGUUUGAUGUUAUAUGGAUAGUUUUGGUUUUGGAUGUUUUU